AACGCAUCUUGCACUUUUUAGGUCUCCUAAAAAGUAUACUUGUUUGAGUAUCAUUAACAUUAACUCCAAGUUCAGUCUUGGGAAUUGAGACGUCAAGUUGCUUUAGCUUCUUGUGUCUUUUAAUUGAUAUGCAGAGUGUUUCGGUGGCGGCAACAUCACCGGAAGCCUUCCCAAUCAAAUGUGAGAUAAACAUCGCACAAAGUAGUUGACAGGUUAAGCUAUGCUACGCCCAGAAGCGCGCGCGCGCCUAGUGUGCUGCUGCUUCAACCUUUGAUCUGUGAUCUCAAAUCAAGUAAGACUACCCGCUGAACUUAA
rnacentral:misc_RNA from 1 species